CCUACGGGUCGCACCAGUGGGGAAUAUUGCACAAUGGGCGCAAGCCUGAUGCAGCCAUGCCGCGUGUAUGAAGAAGGCCCUAGGGUUGUAAAGUACUUUCGGUCGGGAGGAAGGCGUUGUUGCUAAUAUCAUCAACGAUUGACGUUACCGACAGAAGAAGCACCGGCUAACUCCGUGCCAGCAGCCGCGGUAAUACGGAGGGUGCAAGCGUUAAUCGGAAUUACUGGGCGUAAAGCGCACGCAGGCGGUUGAUUAAGUUAGAUGUGAAAUCCCCGGGCUUAACCUGGGAAUGGCAUCUAAGACUGGUCAGCUAGAGUCUUGUAGAGGGGGGUAGAAUUCCAUGUGUAGCGGUGAAAUGCGUAGAGAUGUGGAGGAAUACCGGUGGCGAAGGCGGCCCCCUGGACAAAGACUGACGCUCAGGUGCGAAAGCGUGGGGAGCAAACAGGAUUAGAUACCCCGGUAGUC
rnacentral:rRNA from 1 species